GAACGGGUGCGUACCACGUGAGGAACGUGCCCCGAAGAUUGUGAUAGCCCCGAGGAAACUCGGAUUAAUACCGGAUACCCUCUAUGGACCACAUGGUCUGUUGAGGAAAUGGUCUGCUGUUUGGGGAUGGCCUCGCGGCCUAUCAGCUUGUUGGUGAGGUAAUGGCUCACCAAGGCAAAGACGGGUAGCUGGUCUGAGAGGACGAUCAGCCACACUGGGACUGAGACACGGCCCAGACUCCUACGGGAGGCAGCAGCAGGGAAUAUUGCACAAUGGGCGAAAGCCUGAUGCAGCGACACCGCGUGCGGGAUGAAGGCCUUCGGGUUGUAAACCGCUUUCAGGAGGGACGAAAAUGACGGUACCUCCAGAAGAAGGCCCGGCCAACUACGUGCCAGCAGCCGCGGUAAUACGUAGGGGCCAAACGUUGUCCGGAUUUAUUGGGCGUAAAGGGCUCGUAGGCGGUUCAACAAGUCGGUCGUGAAAGCCCGGGGCUCAACCCCGGGACGCCGGUCGAAACUGUUGUGACUAGGGUCCGGUAGAGGUGAGUGGAAUUCUCGGUGUAGCGGUGGAAUGCGCAGAUAUCGAGAGGAACACCAGUAGCGAAGGCGGCUCACUGGGCCGGUACCGACGCUGAGGAGCGAAAGCAUGGGGAGCAAACAGGAUUAGAUACCCUGGUAGUCCAUGCCGUAAACGA
rnacentral:rRNA from 1 species